ensembl:lncRNA
GGGCUGGGGCAUGGGAACGAGGGAGUCGAGUGUGGCGGUCUCAGUUUGGCAAGAUAAGGAGUGUUUUAGAGAUGGACGGUGGUGAUGGUUUGCACAAUGUGAAUGUCCUAAACGCCAUCCAACUGUUUUUUUUUUUUUUUUGCUGUACCGCGUGGCUUGUGGGAUCUUAGUUCCCCCAUCGGGGAUCGAAACCAGGCCCCUGAAGUGGAAGCCUGGAGUCUUAACCACUGGACCACUAGGGAGGUCCUUUAGACUCAUUUCCUAAGACCGUAGAAAACUGGGACGAAAGCAAGUUUCUUUGCUAGGGGGGAGGGGCAAAACAUUCUCCUCUGUCCACCUCAAGGUCUGAAAUACCUCUUAAAAAAAUCCAAGUGGAGACGUCGAGUGGGCAAUCGGAAGUGAGUGGGAACAAAGGUCAGCAGGAAAGACUCCGAUGUGGCUGGAAACCAAUGGGCAAGAGGGGAGCGUGGGCCAAGGUCCGUGAGGCCACAGUGAGGAGGAUGGUUUUCACCCGCUCUCGGACAGGAGGUUCUGACUCAGCCACUGACCACUUGUGAAACCAGGGGGAAAGUGUCCGUCUGGUCAACGCUGGUUCCGCGCCAGUCACUGUCUCACCCCGUCUGCGCACCAGCCCCGGAGGCGGAGGUGGGGGCGAGGGGCGUGUCUGCCUCACUCUUCCCAAGGACACGAGGUGUGGCCCCGGGCGAUGACUGAGCCCGGGGUCCGUGCGGCUCCCGGGCCGGCCUCGGUCUUGUUCCCGUCUGUGCAUCUCUUUCCCGGGUCUGAGAUGGGGAGACUGCGGCCCGGUCCCCGGAGGGCAGUCGAGACCUUGCAGACAGCCCCCUCCCCGAUUCAAAGGCGGGGAGGCAAACGGAGUCUAGGACCCGCGCACCAGGCUCACACGGCAGAGCACGGCGCCAUGGCCAGCCCCCGGAGGGAGCCCCCCCCCGGAGGCCCGCCACCGCGGCCGCGUGGCCAACUCGAACCCCGCUGCGUACGCGUGGGGCGGGGAGGGAGGAUGACGCGCGGCCCGUUGUCAAGGAGACGCAGCGCGCAGCUCUGAUU